rnacentral:lncRNA from 1 species
ACAGAAGACGAAGAGCUGGAAUAGAGCUCGCCUCGGCUCUGCUGGCCUUGGCUGCAGCUCUUCCAGAAACCCGGGGCGCCCACAGAAGAAUCUCUUACCUGGCUCUCUCUUCAGGGAUGACAUCAUCGGCUCACACCAGUCUUCCAGGACCACCUUCUGGAUGCCAAGGCUGCUGCUCGAGUACCUGCUGUGCACCUCUACCUCCUGGUACCCCAGCCACUCCCUCAAGUUGCCUGCAUGUUAUAUGGCCUAGCCAAGGAGCACGGAUUCCAGGAACCCACUACCAUACAGAGCAACUCCUUGUGGACCCCCCUGGGAUCAGGACAGCGAGGGACAAGCGACAAAGAGGAUCAUCAGUGGCCAGCUAGUUUCUCUGGGGUUCAAACCUUGAACCAGUGCCCUAGUGAGGGGGCACUGGCCAUGGCCCUUGACCUUUGCUCUGCUUGUGUCUUGAGUCUGAGCCCUUUCCUGUACAUCUGUGCUCGUGUUCAUCUGCUAGUGAACUGGAGUGCUGCCCUCCCCGAGGAGGGUCGUCCCUUGUGACUGAUCAUGCUGUCCUAACAAUGUCCUGAGCAAAAGGGUCCCUUUGGGAACCUCUCAGGAGGGGGACCCGGGUCAGGGGCGACCAGCAUCUUGCUGGCAACUCCGUGGGUGGGGUGGGGUGGGGUGCUUCCUUCUGGAAUGAGCACGUGGCUGACCCCCCAAGGCAUGUCCCCUCCCCCUCCUCCACCCACCUUCUCGGAGAUGUCCCUUUUGGGGUAGUGGGGACAUUAGGAGCAACCUCCUAGGGUUGUUGUGAGAAUUAAAUGAACUGCAGCAGCCUGAGGCAGGGCUGGGCAGAGACCUCAGCACAUGUUUGUUGAAAGGUUUGCAGGUGGAUCUAGUCCUCCCGUUCAUGGCUCAUGUGUCUCAACCAUUCUCUCGCAGACUCCUGCAGCCCCUAUGCCCAGGGCUCUCCUUGCGCCAGAGGUAGGUGGGAAAGAGAACUGGGAGAGCCCGGACUCACUCAUGAGAUUGAACUUAAAUUCACACGGAGGACACUUGGACUCUUGCCACAUUAGCCCCGGCUUCUCGAGGCCUGUCUACACUCGCUGCUUUCCUUCCUCACCUCCAAUUUCCCCUCCAACCCACUGCUUCCUGACUCGCUCUUCUCCAUCGAACGGCUCUCGCUCAGCUGGCAUUGCCCACCGGCCAUGCCGGCUGAAGAAAAGAAGACUGAGGACCCCAGGAUGCCCAGCGCGAGGACCCCAGGAAGCCCAGCGCGAGGACUCCACCCACGACGCCCAGCGCGAGGACUUCACGCACAACACGUUGCAACCCUCCUGGAUUAGGCCAAAGCCAUCAUCUGGAAUCCUGCGUGGGACCCUGGACACACGGACACAGACACCUGCCCCCAGGACCCUCCAACUGUAAAUCCCUCUACAGCCACGGGGACGCCUUGCACAUUUCCUGUGGGACAUGCUGGACCCAAGACUCUGGACCCUGGCCUCCCCUUGAGUAGAGAGACCCACCUACUGACUGAUGAACUGCGCUGACCCUGGGGUCAGGCAUGUGGCCUUGAUCCCUACCCAUGGACCCUGAGACUUGGGGGGGUGGGAGAAAGGCUGUUGUGUCUUCACUGUUGAGUCUACAUCUGUGAAAUGGGCUCAGGUUCCUACCUCACAGGGCUGUUGUGAGGCAGCCGCAAUGUGCUUAGAAGCAUGGGGCCUAGUGGCUCAUGGUGCUUUCAAUAAAUUUCUUGUUUUAACUAAA